GAUGAACGCUGGCGGCGUGCUUAACACAUGCAAGUCGAACGAUGAAGCUCAGCUUGCUGGGUGGAUUAGUGGCGAACGGGUGAGUAACACGUGAGUAACCUGCCCUUAACUCUGGGAUAAGCCUGGGAAACUAGGUCUAAUACCGGAUAGGAGCGCCUACCGCACGGUGGGUGUUGGAAAGAUUUAUCGGUUUUGGAUGGACUCGCGGCCUAUCAGCUUGUUGGUGAGGUAAUGGCUCACCAAGGCGACGACGGGUAGCCGGCCUGAGAGGGUGACCGGCCACACUGGGACUGAGACACGGCCCAGACUCCUACGGGAGGCAGCAGUGGGGAAUAUUGCACAAUGGGCGAAAGCCUGAUGCAGCGACGCCGCGUGAGGGAUGACGGCCUUCGGGUUGUAAACCUCUUUCAGUAGGGAAGAAGCGAAAGUGACGGUACCUGCAGAAGAAGCACCGGCUAACUACGUG
rnacentral:rRNA from 1 species